UUCCUACGGGACGCAGCAGUGAGGAAUAUUGGUCAAUGGACGCAAGUCUGAACCAGCCAUGCCGCGUGCAGGAUGACGGCUCUAUGAGUUGUAAACUGCUUUUGUACGAGGGUAAUAUCGGAUACGUGUAUCCGCUUGAAAGUAUCGUACGAAUAAGGAUCGGCUAACUCCGUGCCAGCAGCCGCGGUAAUACGGAGGAUCCAAGCGUUAUCCGGAUUUAUUGGGUUUAAAGGGUGCGUAGGCGGCUUUAUAAGUUAGAGG
rnacentral:rRNA from 1 species